UAAAGAUAUAUGGCACGAAUAAAGAGUAACCAAAUAAACUUUUAAUAUAUAAAAAUACACAGAAUAAUUUUUUAUAUAUUAAAAGUUUAUUUGGUUACUCUUUAUUCGUGCCAUAUAUCUUU